GUGGGGAAUAUUGGACAAUGGGCGAAAGCCUGAUCCAGCCAUGCCGCGUGUGUGAAGAAGGUCUUCGGAUUGUAAAGCACUUUAAGUUGGGAGGAAGGGCAGUAAGUUAAUACCUUGCUGUUUUGACGUUACCGACAGAAUAAGCACCGGCUAACUUCGUGCCAGCAGCCGCGGUAAUACGAAGGGUGCAAGCGUUAAUCGGAAUUACUGGGCGUAAAGCGCGCGUAGGUGGUUUUGUAAGUUGGAGGUGAAAUCCCCGGGCUGAACCUGGGAACUGCCUCCACAACUGCAUGACUAGAGUACGGUAGAGGGUAGUGGAAUUUCCUGUGUAGCGGUGAAAUGCGUCGAUAUAGGAAGGAGCACCAGUGGCGAAGGCGACUACCUGGACUGAUACUGACACUGAGGUGCGAAAGCGUGGGGAGCAAACAGGAUUAGAAACCCCAGUAGUCC
rnacentral:rRNA from 1 species